rfam:Ovis aries breed Texel chromosome 12, whole genome shotgun sequence.
UCCCUGGUGGUCCAGAGGUUAAGACUCUGCUUUGCAGUGCAGGGGACACAGGUUCCAUCCCUGGUCAGGGAA